rnacentral:rRNA from 1 species
AUUUUGGACAAUGGGCGCAAGCCUGAUCCAGCCAUGCCGCGUGUGUGAAGAAGGCCUUCGGGUUGUAAAGCACUUUCGGCCGGAACGAAAUCGCGUGGAUUAAUACUCCGCGUGGAUGACGGUACCGGAAGAAGAAGCACCGGCUAACUACGUGCCAGCAGCCGCGGUAAUACGUAGGGUGCAAGCGUUAAUCGGAAUUACUGGGCGUAAAGUGUGCGCAGGUGGCCGCGCAAGUCGAGUGUGAAAGCCCCGGGCUUAACCUGGGAAUUGCGCUCGAAACUACGUGGCUAGAGUGUGGCAGAGGAAGGUGGAAUUCCACGUGUAGCGGUGAAAUGCGUAGAGAUGUGGAGGAACACCGAUGGCGAAGGCAGCCUUCUGGGCCAACACUGACGCUCAUGCACGAAAGCGUGGGGAGCAAACA